rnacentral:rRNA from 1 species
GACGAACGCUGGCGGCGUGCUUAACACAUGCAAGUCGAACGGAAAGGCCCUUCGGGGUACUCGAGCGGCGAACGGGUGAGUAACACGUGGGUGAUCUGCCCUGCACUUUGGGAUAAGCCUGGGAAACUGGGUCUAAUACCGAAUAGGACCACGCGCUUCAUGGUGUGUGGUGGAAAGCUUUUGCGGUGUGGGAUGGGCCCGCGGCCUAUCAGCUUGUUGGUGGGGUAAUGGCCUACCAAGGCGACGACGGGUAGCCGGCCUGAGAGGGUGACCGGCCACACUGGGACUGAGAUACGGCCCAGACUCCUACGGGAGGCAGCAGUGGGGAAUAUUGCACAAUGGGCGCAAGCCUGAUGCAGCGACGCCGCGUGAGGGAUGACGGCCUUCGGGUUGUAAACCUCUUUCAAUAGGGACGAAGCGCAAGUGACGGUACCUAUAGAAGAAGCACCGGCCAACUACGUG